rnacentral:rRNA from 1 species
UACGGAGGGUGCAAACGUUGCUCGGAAUCAUUGGGCGUAAAGCGCACGUAGGCGGCUCGUCAAGUCGGAUGUGAAAGCCCUCGGCUCAACCGAGGAAGUGCAUACGAAACUGGCGAGCUUGAAUAUGGAAGAGGGUCGCGGAAUUCCCGGUGUAGAGGUGAAAUUCGUAGAUAUCGGGAGGAACACCAGUGGCGAAGGCGGCGACCUGGGCCAAUAUUGACGCUGAGGUGCGAAAGCGUGGGGAGCAAACAGG